rnacentral:rRNA from 1 species
UACGAAGGGGGCGAGCGUUGUUCGGAAUUACUGGGCGUAAAGGGCGCGUAGGCGGCCUGUUAAGUCGAACGUGAAAUCCCCGGGCUCAACCCGGGAACUGCGUCCGAUAUUGGCGAGCUUGAAUUCGGGAGAGGGAUGUGGAAUUCCAGGUGUAGCGGUGAAAUGCGUAGAUAUCUGGAGGAACACCGGUGGCGAAGGCGGCAUCCUGGACCGAUAUUGACGCUGAUGCGCGAAAGCCAGGGGAGCAAACGGG